rnacentral:rRNA from 1 species
UAACCGGAUUAGAUACCCUGGUAGUCCAUGCCGUACACGGUGGGCAGUAGGUGUGGGGACUUUCAACGGUUUCCGUGCCGAAGGUAACGCAUUAAGUGCCCCGCCUGGGGAGUACGGCCGCAAGGCUAAAACUCAAAGGAAUUGACGGGGGGCCGCACAAGCGGCGGAGCAUGUUGCUUAAUUCGAGGCAACGCGAAGACCCUCCCCUGGGUGGUUCAUGUACCGAAAAGCCAUAGAGAUACGGUGUCCUUCGGGGCGGUACACAGGUGGUGCAUCCUGUCGUCAGCUCGUGUCGUGAGAUGUUGGGUUAAGUGCCGCAAUGAGCGCAACCCUCGUCCUGGGUUGCCAGCAAGUUAUGUUGGGGAUUGGCAGGAGCCUGCCGGGCUCAACUCGGCGGAAGGUGGGGACGACGUAA